rnacentral:lncRNA from 1 species
GAGUUGUAGAUAGGUGUGAGCUGUCAUGUGGGUGCUGGGUCCUGGUGCUCUUAGCUGCUGAGCUAUCUCUCCAGACUCCAUCCUGACUUUCUUUUUUCUCUAGGGAUAUAGAAUUCACUUGCUCCCAGCACUUUCACUUCCUCCGUUUGGGACUAGGUUAGAGAGCAUCUCUGGGUGCUGCCAUAGUUAGUGGGAGCCAUGGCCUCCAGCAGGGAUGAGCCUGGCACUCAUCAGCAUGAGUAAAGCAAACGCUUGCUGACUGACACCUGGAUGGAUAAAGGAACCAAUUCCUGUCACAAGAGUGGAAGCUAAACAAGCCUUCAGCCUGUUUUCCGAGCCUAUGAAAGACGGAGGCACAGGGACUGAAGGAACGGAGUUAAGGUUUCACCUUCGAGGGUUCCCCAGACCCGACCCACCAGCUGCGAUUGAGAUGGGCACAGCUCAGGGCUCCAGUUUGAGACACUCCACUGCCUGGGCUCAGGAGCUCAAGAUCGAGAGGAUUUUGUUGAGCGCCCGCCUGAGCGUACCUCCACUUCCCUGCGCAAAGGCAGCAAGAGCUAUUGGUCUGAGGGUCAGCGGGGCAUGCCUGCCACCACCACCACCAACUGAGGCUCUCUCCUAAAAUGACACUCACACCCGUUCUCCACCAAGCUUCUCUGGGCCUCGUCCUUCUACCUCACAACCU